UCUCCUCCAGCGGCGGCCGGUGAUUGGGUGGCGGCGGGCACUGGCCUCCGUAAGCACCGCCCCUUUUCCCCGCCCCUUCCCCCCCUCCCACCCUUGCGCCGGGGGAGCGGGGGCGCCGGCGGCGGCUCUGCCACUGCCGGACACCGGAAGUGAGGGAGGGCGGGGGCGCGCGCCCGGGCGCGGGGCACGACGGGACGGUGCCGUGACAGGGCUGGGGCUGGGGGCGAGAUGGCGGCGGUAGCUCUCGGUGCUGCUCCGGACCCGCCGCCGUCCCGGGCCCGUCCGGGGUGAUUCGGGCGUCUCCUGCCUCCCCUUGACAUGGCGGCAGGUGCGCCGGGCUCGGGGAGCGUGCGCGCCGCUGCGGCCGCUUGUGUCCCCUCGCAGGGGCGCGUCCCCGCGGGGCCUCCCCGGGAGCCACGCCCGGGUCAGGGCGCGGAGCAGCCGGGAUGAAGGACGGGGGCGUUGCUUCUCGUGGGGUUUUGUGCUCCCAUUGGGGCUGGGCCGCGAUGCAGCCUCCCCGGCACCUUGUGGGGACAAAAACAUGACUUUUCUGUUAAGAAAUAACUUGUAUUUCACACAACCCCUGGGAAAAAUCGAUACAAAAGCUCUGCAGGCUUCAGAGCCCCCUUGACUUCACUGGGCAGCGGGUGCUCGCGUGGUUUAAUGGCCGGAGGUCUGGACACCGCGGUUCUGCGCCGAGAACCGAGGUCACGACUGCUCCUCGUGGGGUCCCCUCAGAGCCGGGCCUGAAAAAACCUCUGGUGCAGCAAAGGGCAGGAUUUUGCCCUUUUGGCUGUUGCGCUGAAGGAUCUGACAAACUGCCCUAUAUUUCAAAGGACGGAGCUUAACAGGACAGGAUAGGUCUGGAGCGCGGAUCGAGCGGCGGCUGUGGCGAGCAAGGGGAUCGUUCCCCAGAUCUGUGCGGCUGCUGGGCUGUGAAAGCAGGAGCUGGACCGGCAGAUGAAGUGUUUUCAAACUGUCCAUCAACAUUUGCAUACUCUGAUUGUGCCCAAAAUUGAGGAAAUACAUGAGUAACGGGGGGCUGGCCGUUUGUUUGCAUAGUUAAACGACUGAGGCUCCACACUGAAAUGCGAAGGUGACAGGGGCUGAUUGAAAAUGGAGGUAAAUCCUGCAAUCGCUCAGCCUGUCCUUAGGAGAGAGGUGGUUUCUCUUUAUAAAGAAGAAAGUGCUUGGAAAAAGAGAGUAGGAAAAAAAGAUGAGCUGGGGGAAAAAUCAGGGUAGUUUGUGUGAUUUUUGGUGUGCAGAGCACCAUAGUCAAGAUUCACAAAGGUGAGGUCGAGUGCAUAACGAUGCACCUCUUUGGAGAAACAUCGGGAGUUACAGACCGUGUGUAUCCAGCCGCAGUCGACGUCCUUUGCACGUCACCAUAUCACAGGUUUCAUCACGGCAGAGACCACCGGAGGUGAGGGCUUUAAUCACACCACUCAGAGUUUUUAGCCCCUGGAGAACCAGGAAAAAGUCAUUUUUCUGCAGCACAAGAGUUUGGAAUCACCUCGACACAUUUAUUUUCCUUUCGUUAUGAAAAGCACGCAAGCGACCAUACACGCCCGCAGCCACCGGCACAGCCGAGCUGAAGCCACGUGCCAGUGCUCGGUGGCCAAUCUUCAUCACUGGCUGUGCGAAUUAAACGCACACGAACUUGCAUGCAUGUCGCUGAAUUUUGUCACCUGCUCUGCAUCCCCGCACAUCUGCAUCGCUCGCUGGAUAACCUCAAAGACCUCGAGGGCACUGUCCUGCUGUCCCCUGUGCCGGGGGAAGGUGGGACCAGAGUGGGGAACCGCGGGAGAGGAAAACCGCCUGGGUUGUAUUUAUACCCUGUCCCAUUUGCAAAAUCAUAUGUAAUUCUGAAGCAUUUUCAUCCUGGCUCCUCUUUUCAGCUCCACUCAACCUUAUACUUCCCUCAGUUGUAGGAGAUUUUGCAUUUGAAAAAUUAAAAUGAUUUCUUGUG